AGUCUUGUAUUCAAUGAUGAUUUUAAAUUGCAAGUUUAAAGGUGGAAUGAUCCCCAAGGCUU
rnacentral:tRNA from 1 species